GUGCUGGAUGUUCUCGCUGUGUCAACCCAUUAGUGGCCUUUGGCUAUUUCUGCUCUUGGUGGGGUUGUUGCCUUUUUGACACCUUCCCUGUUUCCAAUUAAUAAAAUGUGAAUUCUGCAAAAAUCUUGAGGAAUCCAAAAAAGGUUUUGCUUUCAUUCUUGACUUUAAGAUCAUAUUAAUCAUGUUAAUGCUAGACAAAAAAC
rnacentral:lncRNA from 1 species